rnacentral:rRNA from 3 species
UACGGCCGCAAGGUUAAAACUCAAAUGAAUUGACGGGGGCCCGCACAAGCGGUGGAGCAUGUGGUUUAAUUCGAUGCAACGCGAAGAACCUUACCUGGUCUUGACAUCCACAGAACUUUCCAGAGAUGGAUUGGUGCCUUCGGGAACUGUGAGACAGGUGCUGCAUGGCUGUCGUCAGCUCGUGUUGUGAAAUGUUGGGUUAAGUCCCGCAACGAGCGCAACCCUUAUCCUUUGUUGCCAGCGAUUAGGUCGGGAACUCAAAGGAGACUGCCAGUGAUAAACUGGAGGAAGGUGGGGAUGACGUCAAGUCAUCAUGGCCCUUACGACCAGGGCUACACACGUGCUACAAUGGCGCAUACAAAGAGAAGCGACCUCGCGAGAGCAAGCGGACCUCAUAAAGUGCGUCGUAGUCCGGAUUGGAGUCUGCAACUCGACUCCAUGAAGUCGGAAUCGCUAGUAAUCGUGGAUCAGAAUGCCACGGUGAAUACGUUCCCGGGCCUUGUACACACCGCCCGUCACACCAUGGGAGUGGGUUGCAAAAGAAGUAGGUAGCUUAACCUUCGGGAGGGCGCUUACCACUUUGUGAUUCAUGACUGGGGUGAAGUCGUAACAAGGUAACCGUAGGGGAACCUGCGGUUGGA